AGUGAACGCUGGCGGUAGGCCUAACACAUGCAAGUCGAACGGCAGCACAGUAAGAGCUUGCUCUUACGGGUGGCGAGUGGCGGACGGGUGAGGAAUACAUCGGAAUCUACUUUUUCGUGGGGGAUAACGUAGGGAAACUUACGCUAAUACCGCAUACGACCUACGGGUGAAAGCAGGGGAUCUUCGGACCUUGCGCGAUUGAAUGAGCCGAUGUCGGAUCAGCUAGUUGGCGGGGUAAAGGCCCACCAAGGCGACGAUCCGUAGCUGGUCUGAGAGGAUGAUCAGCCACACUGGAACUGAGACACGGUCCAGACUCCUACGGGAGGCAGCAGUGGGGAAUAUUGGACAAUGGGCGCAAGCCUGAUCCAGCCAUACCGCGUGGGUGAAGAAGGCCUUCGGGUUGUAAAGCCCUUUUGUUGGGAAAGAAAAGCAGCAGGUUAAUACCCCGCUGUUCUGACGGUACCCAAAGAAUAAGCACCGGCUAACUUUGUG
rnacentral:rRNA from 1 species